AGUGAACGCUGGCGGUAGGCCUAACACAUGCAAGUCGAACGGCAGCACAGUAAGAGCUUGCUCUUACGGGUGGCGAGUGGCGGACGGGUGAGGAAUACAUCGGAAUCUACUUUUUCGUGGGGGAUAACGUAGGGAAACUUACGCUAAUACCGCAUACGACCUACGGGUGAAAGCAGGGGAUCUUCGGACCUUGCGCGAUUGAAUGAGCCGAUGUCGGAUUAGCUAGUUGGCGGGGUAAAGGCCCACCAAGGCGACGAUCCGUAGCUGGUCUGAGAGGAUGAUCAGCCACACUGGAACUGAGACACGGUCCAGACUCCUACGGGAGGCAGCAGUGGGGAAUAUUGGACAAUGGGCGCAAGCCUGAUCCAGCCAUACCACGUGGGUGAAGAAGGCCUUCGGGUUGUAAAGCCCUUUUGUUGGGAAAGAAAAGCAGCAGGUUAAUACCCCGCUGUUCUGGCGGUACCCAAAGAAUAAGCACCGGCUAACUUCGUG
rnacentral:rRNA from 1 species